CCCUUAGAUGUUCUGGGCCACACGCGCGCUACACUGACGAAGUCAGCGAGCAUCUCCUACGCCGAAAGGUGCGGGGAAUCUUGUGAAACUUUGUCGUGCUGGGGAUUGAUUUUUGAAAUUCUUGAUCAUCAACGAGGAAUUCCUAGUAAGCGCAAGUCAGCAGCUUGCGUUGAUUACGUCCCUGCCCUUUGUACACACCGCCCGUCGCUACUACCGAUUGAAUGGUUUAGUGAGAUUUUUGGACUGGAACUCUCUUGUUCAGCAAUGAACGAGAGGGACUCUGGGAAGCUAUUCUAACUGUAUCAUUUAGAGGAAGUAAAAGUCGUAACA
rnacentral:rRNA from 1 species